AUCAUACUAAUUAUCAUUUAUACAAAUAGACUUAUACUAUGGUUGAAUCAUUUAAAUCAAUUACAUUGAACAUUCAACCUAGAAUAUAUAAAACUAAGUUUAAACAUAAUGAUCAAGCCAUGUUUAACUAAACUGAAUUUAAGCAUAGGAAAUAAACCAUUAAAACAUAUUCGUUAAUACCAAAUUCAAAACAAAAAGAGUUAAGCCAUUUUCGCAUGGCUCAUAUUCACAUAUCCCAAAAAUUUAAACAUAUUAACUAGACUAUACAUGCCAUAGGUUUGAGUUCAAAAUAUAUAAAAUACCAAAGACGGUCGAUAGUGUGAUAGAUUAUGCUGAUGAUCCCCGAGCUCGAAACGAGUCUCCAAAAUCUAUAAGAAUAGAUAGACAAAGAUAACCAAAGUAAGCUUUUAUAGCUUAGUAAGUCUAUAGCGUAUAUAAAAAUACAUAUAAAAGAAUCACAUAAUUAUUUAAGUAAAUUUAUCGAAAUCACAAAUAUCAAAUAUAAUUACUAACCAAACAUUUCUAUAUUAAGUCAUUUUGUUUAAAUCUAAAAGAAUGUAUAUUUAACUAAUAUACAUAAACAGACUAAGGUAUAUACAUUAUAUGCAUAAAAUCAAAUUACUAACAUAAUCAUUAUCUGCAUAUACAGAUUUUUAGAGUACUUGUUAUUCAUACUUCAUCGGAUCCAUUUAUAUAUUUGUUCAAUUACAUAUACCAAAAGCAUAAUUUUUAUACUUAUAAACUAUAAAGGCCGAAUACACAUAUUCACUUAUACCCACCUAUGCCGAAUGCAUACAUAUAUACACUCAUAAAUAUCCAACAAUUUUCAUGACAUCCGAUAUAUAUAUAUAUACAUACUCACUAAUCACAAAGAUUCGAACAAUUAUAUACUCAUCAACAUCUUGAAACAAUAUUCAUACAUUCAUCCAUUUCAUAUAAAAUCAUAUCUAUAUUUAUACCAAAUGCUUAGAAUCACUUAAUUCAUCAUAUUCGGAUCACCGGCACUUAGCCUGCUAGGCUUAUAGCCUGAUUCAGAUCACCGGCGCUUAGCCUGCUAGGUUUAUAACCUGAUUCAUAUCACCGGCACUUAGCCUGCUAGGCUUAUAGCCUGAUUCAGAUCACCGGCGCUUAGCCUGCUAGGCUUAUAGCCUGAUUCAGAUCACCGGCGCUUAGCCUGCUAGGUUUAUAACCUGAUUCAUAUCACCGGCACUUAGCCUGCUAGGCUUAUAGCCUGAUUCAGAUCACCGGCACUUAGCCUGCUAGGUUUAUAACCUGAUUCAUAUCACCAAUUCCAAACUUGAAAAUACAAUGAUUCAACCGAAUACAUUUAUAUAUAUUUUUGAGUCUAUCAUAAACAUAUAUAAUUACGUACUCAUAAUCAAAGCAUGAAUUUAUAUUUGUAUACUCAUACAUAUUCGAAUCUAAUAUAUAUACAUCCAUAAUUUCAUUCCUAAAUCCAUAUAAGGUAUCAUGCAUGUAUAUGCAAACUUGUUCGAUCCACACAUAUAUAUAUAUUACACACAUAUACAUAUAUUCGCACAUUAAUAUAAACACAACCAUAACAUUUGAACUUUUAAUUGAGUCUAAAAAUUUAUACUUUUAUACACAUACCUAUUCGAACAUCACAUGUAUAUGUAUGAAAUUCACACAUCAACUAACAUAAAUUUUAUACUUGUAAUUAUAACUCAUUAAUUAUAAAAUAAAUAUACUUAUAUAUAUAUUGAUUUGAUAACAUGAAUUUUUGCUAACAGACUUACCUCGAAUAUCAGCGGACACGAUCGACUACUCGACUACUUUCGUUUUCCUCCGAUCCAAUUCCGUUUUCCUCGUUUCUUGAUCUAAACACAUUUAAAUUUAACCUUUUUAUUCAUCAAAAUAUUCAAUUAACUCCAAAAAUACAUAAAUGGACAAAUUACUAUUUUACCCCUGACAUUUUACACUUUUUACAAUUUAGUCUAUUUUUGCACAAAACACAAAAUACAUAAAUUUUGUCCACAUUAUGUUAGGGCCGAAUAUUUCAUAGACCCAUAUAGAUCCUUGCAUGUCAUUUAUUUCACCUUUUAGUCCCUCAAUUAAAUAUUUUUUUACAAAUUAAUCCAAAAUAAUUAAAUUCAUCAAAAAUUCAAGAACACAUAUUAUAAUCUAUCACAUAUCUUUCAUAUUUCAUCAUCAACUAUUACCAAGCUCAAGUAUUCAUAAAUGGCAUAUCUCAAAAUCACUAUCAAAUUCUAAAAUUAAAGCAUGGGCUAGAUAUAACACGAAGCAACGAUCACAAAAACGUAAAAAUCAUCAAAAACCGAAACCAAACAUACCUUAAAUCAAGCAUCAAAGAUGGCCGAAUAGCUUGGUUCUUCUUCUUUUAUUUUCUUUUCUUAGUUUCGAAUAGAUGAUAAGGAAAUAAAAGAUGAUGGUGGUCUUUAUUUGUUUAAUUAUAAUAUUAUAAUAUACUAUAUAUUAUAACAUUUAUAAUUAAUAUAAAAACUAUAUAUAUUAUACACAUAAUGCCGCCCACUAUUCUUUUUAAUGGUUAAAUUGCAAAACUAAACCUCCAUAUUAAAAGAACAACCAUUAUUCAGCCCCUUUUUAAAAAUAACCAUUAAAUUUUUAUUUUACGCGAUUUAAUCCUUUUUAUUUAAUCGGACACUCAAACGGCGAAAUUAAAGCACGAAAUUUUUACACUAGUAAAUUCACGCAUAAUAAACACAGAAAAUAAUAUUAAAAUAUUUUUUUGACUCAGACUUGUGGUCCCGAAACCACUAUGUCCGAUUAGAGUCAGAACCGGGUUGUUACACCCAAAAUUCACAAGCACCGAAAAAGUACAUUAUCGGGCCUCCGUCUUAGUAAAUUGAGUUCGAAAAUAAUUAUUAGAAAUAUUUAUUAGACUAGUUGUGUGUUUAAUUAGGUAUUAAUUGGGUGAAUUUAGUUUAAUUAAGAGAAAUUAAGAAAAAAGGACUAAAUUGAUCUAGGGGUAAAAGUUGAAUUAUAGAUUAAUAAAAAAAAUAAAAAGGAUUAAAAUGGAAAUUAAGCCAUUAAUAAGAAAUGGGACGGUAAAAGUGAUAAAAAUCUUAGAUUUUUAUGUUUUAUAUAUAUUAUAUUAUAUUGUAUUGUAUUAUAUUAUAUAAGUAAAAAAAAAGAUGACAAAUGUAUGGUAAAUAUUGAAGACAUGUGUAAUAGUAAUAAUUACAUGGGUACACUUGUAAUAAAAAUAAAUAUGUGCUUAAUUAAUAAGUAAAAGAUUUUUUUAAUAUAUUAUUAGUUAAAAUAAAAGAUAUAAAGUAAAAGAAAGAAACAAACAAAGAAGAAAAGAAACAGAAUAGCUAGAAAAGAAGCAGGGAAAGAGACGAAAACAGGGGAAGUAAAGGGGAAAGAAAAAUAAAAGGGAAAACUAAGGAUUUAAAGCUUCAAGUUAAUUGCUAACAAGGAAAACGAGGUAUCGGCAUCUAAAGGAAAAGAAAAGAUCGUUGAGGAGUAAACGCGUAUUCUGGGUUUGUAUUACUAUAACUUAAUCUAUUUAAUAAAUGCUAUAUUAAAAUUGUAUUCAUGAGACAUUUAAAGGAAGGUAAGUAUUAACAUUUGAAAUUAAGUAAGAAUAUGUGUAUAUUAAAUUAUAUGUGAAUUGAAAUAAUAGAUGUUUUGUAUUGAUUGAAUAUUUGAAAUUGUUGUGGAAAUGAAUUCGAAAUAGGAAAAGUAAAAUAAUACCCUAUUAACUUAUCGGACUAGAUUGGAUACAAAUGGCAUGCCAUAGGAUUUGUGAUGUGAUGAGGAGAUUUGUAGUUCAGCCGAGAAGAUGACUAUGUUAUUAAAUGCUUCGGUUUAUCCGAAGAGGCAUUAAAUGCCUUAUUGGUGUGUUUGGGAGGUUAUGAUAUACUGGUGUGUUAUGGAGGAUUUAAAUUAUUCCGGGUGUGUUUAGAUUGGAUAUUUUGGUGUGUUUGGGUGGAAUCCGCGUAUUUGUCAGAGUCCGAGCCUUGUUAAUAGGGUAAAUAAUUGAAAUGAAAAUUUGAAAAUGAGAUUAGUUGAUUUGACACUAUUGAAAAAUAUGAGAAAGAAUGUAUGAUAUAAAUUAUGAAUUGAUUUAGUAUGUAAAUAUUUAAAUAUAUAAAUUUAAGAUUUAUGGAAUGAUAUAUGAAUAUUUAUAUUUAGUUUAAAGUGAUUUUUUUUAAAGACUAUGGUCAAUAUUUGAAAUUUUAUUAUUAUUAAAUAGUUUAAUUUAUAGUAAUACCACUGAGUAUAAAAUACUCAGCGUACGGUUGUUUCCGUGCGCAGGUUGAAAAGGGGUUAAAGUCUCAGUUCAGCAUCCAGGACAAUCCCGACUCCGACAUAAAGAUUUUGGUUAUGUUUGAAAUUUUGCAGGGGGUUUAAUGUAAAAAUAAGUCGAAAUGCUGCCGAAAUUUUUAUAAAAAAAAAUGAAUGAAAUCAAUUAGUACAAAUUUAUAACAAUUUAUGAAUUAUUUUAAUUUGUUGGUUAUUUAUUUAGAAUUAUUUGUAAAUUGUUUGAUAUGUCCGGUAAUGCCUCGUAACCCUGUUUCGGCGACGGUUUGGGAUUAGGGGGUGUUACACGAUCCUCCAAAAAUAAAUAUAUAUGUCAAUCUACAAGAAACAAUAAACACACACAAGGAAGCUUACAGAAAGCUUAGUAAGUUCAUAGGCUCAUAAUAAAUUCUUACCAAAAUUUCACUAACAAUAUUAAUAAACAAAUAAAAAUUUAACAUUUCCUGCCAACCACAAUCUUAAACAAUGAAUCUAUCCAAUUGAGCUCAAUAUUAGAUGUCAACUUCUAUUCCGACAUUUAGCUUCAAUUGCACUUAAAAAUACCUGUCAAAUUAAGGAUCGUCUUACGGAAUUGAGUACAUCGUUUGCCCAGUGCCACAAUUUGCUUGAAUAUUUCACAAGGCUAUAACUCAUUAUGGUUUUCUUCACGGAAAUACCAUACCUACUUUUCACAACUCAGUAUGGUUUUCUUUACUAAAAUACCAUACCUACUUUUCACAACUCAGUAUGGCUUUCUUCACUGGAAUACCAUACCUACGUUUCACACCUUGCCAUGGAUCCACCAUGGGAUUAUUCAUCAAUUCAUCACUGAUUACAAAACGUAUAUACUCAAUCCUACGUAUCCCUUAAUUUAAACUAACAAUUUCAUUUUUUUUCUCAUUUUUACCAUAAUCAUAAUUCAACAACAGUAUACGAAUUGAUACAACAUAUCAUUAUAUUAUAGAUCGGGAAUCUGAAGAUAAAUGCGAAAAAUAGAAAGUAUCAAAAUAGUCUCUGAACUUUUACAAAUCCUGCAAAUUGGCCCAGGUAAGUUCAUACGGUUGAAUUUUUAUGAUUAAUUUUUAAUAUGGGAAUGAUAUAUUGUAUCAAUACGUAUAUUGUUGUUGAAUUAUGAUUAUGAUAAAAAUGAGAAAAAAAAUGAGAUUGUUAGUUUAAAUUAAUGGAUACGCAGGAUUGAGUACAUACGUUCUGUAAUCAGUGAUGAAUUGACGAAUAAGCCCAUGGUGAAUCCAUGGAAACUUGUGAAAAGUAGGUAUGGUGUUUCAGUGAAGAAAGUCAUACUGAGUUGUGCAAAGUAGGUAUGGUGUUUCAGUGAAGAAAACCAUACUGAGUUGUGAAAAGCAGGUAUGGUAAAAUAACAUACCAUAGCAUUCAUGAAAUUUCAAUCCAAUGUUCCACUAAAUUAGAACUUUUAUUCAAACAUUUAUAUUUUCACAAAUAUUUCAGUUUAAUAAAAUUCAUAUAAAAUAACAUACCAUAGCAUUCAUGAAAUUUCAAAGUAUAAUACAACAUUUCCUGCCAACCACAAUCUCAAACAAUGAAUUUACUCAAUUGAGCUGAAUAUCAAAUAUCAACUUAUAUUCCAACAUUUAGCUUCAAUUGCACUUACAAAUACUUGUCAAAUUAAGGAUCGUCUUGCGGAUUUGAGUACAUCGUUUGCCCGGGUGCCACGAUUUGCUUGAAUAUUUUACAAUGCUAUAACUCAAUAUGGUUUCCUUCACUGAAAUACCAUACCUACUUUUCACAACUCAGUAUGAUUUUCUUCACUGAAACACCAUACCUACAUUUCACAAUUUUCCAUGGAUUCACCAUGGGCUUAUUCGUUAAUUCAUCAUUGAUUACAGAACGUAUGUACUCAAUCCUGCGUAUCCCUUAAUUUAAACUAACAAUAUCAUUUUUUUUCUCAUUUUUACCAUAAUCAUAAUUCGAAAACAAUAUACAAAUUGAUACAAUAUAUCAUUCCCACAUUAACAAUUAAUCAUAAAAAUUCAGCCGUAUGAACUUACCUGGGCCAAUUUGUAGGAUUUGUAAAAGUUCAAAUACUAUUUUGAUACUUUCUCUUUUCUGCAUUUAUCUUCAGAUUCCCGAUCUAUAAUAUAAAAUUUUCCAUUCAUUAUCAUCUAACUCAAUACUAAUUCACUUCACAGUUUAUGCCCUUCAAUUUUUGAAAUUACACUUUUACCCCAAAACUUACAGUUUUUACAAUCUAGUCCCUACUCAAUUAACACUUGAAUUGAACUAAUUUUUUUCCUCAAAUAACACUUUAUCUAAUAAUUUUAGGCUAUUAUACAACCUUUUAUAUUCAUAAUUUCAUUACAAAACCCCAAUUCCUAGCUUUUUCACAAUUAAGUCCUAAAAAUCAUUUUCUACUAAAAUCACUUAAUAAAAUCAUAAUAUAAUAAAAUUAAAGCUUCAAAUCUAUGAUAAUUCAUCAUAAAUUAAAAUUCCAGUACUCACACAUGGUAACUUUCAAAAUCAUUCAUAGAAUCAAAAACAAAUCAAUUCAAUAGUUGGACUUAAUUGUAAAAGUCACAAACCAUGAAAAAUUACAAAGAAAAAGCAAGAAUUGAACUUACAUGAUGAAAAAUAUGAAAAACCAGCUUUAAAACUCUCUCCUAUGGCAUUUUGGCUGAAGAAAAAUGAUGAUAUCUCUAGAUUUUUCAAUAUUGUCUUUAUUUUAUAUGUUUAAUUUGCAAAAUUUCCAAUUUUUCCCUUAUUUCUCCUUGUUUUCUUGCUGAUUUUCUUGCCCAAACCGUCCAGCCCAUAUACUUUAGGCCUAAUUUCCUUUUAAAUCCCUCCUUAUUAGUCACUUAAACUAUUUAAUCACAAUUUAACAAAUUUUGCACUAUUUUCAAUUUAAUCCUUUUUAAUUAAUUGACUAUCCAAACGUUAAAAUUUUCUAACGAAACUUUUAUACUAACUCAAUGACACUCCAUAAAUGUUUAUAAAAAUAUUUAUGGCUCGACUUAUGAAUUCGAGGUCUCGAUACCUCGUUUUAGACCCAAUUUACCAACUAAAUUCUUUUUAAAUCACAAAAUCCACUAAAUCACAAAAUUCGCCUAAAUUCAAACUUGACCCAAAAUUAUUAAUUUAUUAAAAUUUCAAGCUUACUUGUCGGAUUUAGUGAUCCCAAAUCACUAAUUUCGAUACCAUUAAAAAUUGGGCUGUUACACAGGCCGUGUGUCCCCUGCAACUUAAAAUUUUAAAACGGAAUGCUCAGAAAUUUUCACACGGCCUGGCACACAAGCGUGUGGCUUGGCCGUUUUACUCUUGCACCUAAAUGAAUUGCAAGUUAGAGAGUUACUCUGGCUGGGGACACGGCUGUGUGCUCUAUUUCAAACGCCACACGGCCUGAGACACGGGUGUGUCACUGGGCCGUGUGAGCCACACGGCUUGACCACACAGGCGUGUGCCCCAUGCACAUUGGAAAAUUUUGAAAUUUCAUGAAAAAUUCUCUGAGUUUCCGAUUUAGUCCCAAUUCGAUUCUAAAGUGAAAAUUGAGCCUCGAGGGCUCUCAUAAGGGACUUUAUGAAUAGUAUCUGGCAUGAAUGUUAAAUAAUAAUAUGAAAUGUCUGUAUUUAAUGUGGCAUGUAUAGCUAGGCUCACAUAUGCUACGUUUGGUCCGAGAACCGACUAAACCGUAGCUCUGAUACCACUAAAUGUAACACCCCUUACCCGUAUCCAACACCGGAAUAGGGUACGAGGCAUUACCAAAACACAUACACUUGUAAACGUAUUUAACCGAGUUAUAAAAUUUCAUCAAAAUUAAAACUUUCAAAAAUAAUUAACAUGUUUCUAUAACUUUUCACAAUAUAUGCUUAAAAUAUUAUAAUCAUAAUAAUUAGGGCCUGCGAGACCCGAUACAUACUCAUGCAAUUUAAUGCUUCAUUUCCAUUUCAUUCAAUUCGCAAUUUCUCAUGCUCAUAAUUUAAAUCAUAUCACUAGAAAUUUCCAUUUAAUUCACGUACAAUUCAAUGACAUCAAAUUCAAAACUAAUACGUAUUUACCAUUUAACUCAAUGUUUAUUGAUUAUACCAUUCAAUAACACAUUUAUGAAAUUCUCAAUUUAGCAAUGAAAAUAUCACUUUAGUUUGAAUAACAACAUCGUCCUGAUAUAAAUACACUACCACUUAUCCAUUUACUUUAAUUCUUUUGGGCCCAUUUGUCACUUACCAUCUUUAAUCAAAUUAGGGAACGGUCACGGAAAAUUGAGUACUUCACUUUCACUUUGCCAUAGUAUAACUAUGGUCUUACGUAUGAUCACUUAUCACUUGUCCCUGAUCAGAUAAGUGUAGCCACCUAUCACUUUGUUUCUUGAUCAGAUAAGUGUAGCCACUUAUCACUUUGUUUCUUGAUCAGAUAAGUGUAGCUAAAGCUAUCACUUAUCACUUUGUCUCUUGAUCAGAUAAGUAUAGCCGAAGCUAUCACUUAUCACUUUUCACUUGUCACUUGAUCAGAUAAGUGUAGCCGAAGCUAUCACUUAUCACUUUCCACUUGUCACUUGAUCAGAUAAGUGUAGCUGAAUCUAUCACUUAUCACUUUGUCACUUGAUCAGAUAAGUAUAGCCGAAGCUAUCACUUAUCACUUUAUCACUUGAUCAGAUAAGUAUAGCCGAAGCUAUUACUUAUCACUUUCCACUUGUCACUUGAUCAGAUAAGUGUAGCUAAAGCUACCACUUAUCACUUUAUCACUUGAUCAGAAGUACUCAAAUCCGGCGUUCCGCUCAAUUUGAUCAUUUAUUCAUAUAUCAGGCUUACCAACAUGUGUUAAUUCAUAAACCAUUCAUGGUAUUAUUUCAUGCCAAAUCAUAUACUGAAUAUACCAUACACACAUACUAUGAAACUUUAUUUUCACACAUGAGCUUAAACCAUGACCAAUAAUGCACAAAAAUAAGCAUCAUUCAUAUUUCAUCGUUUAUGAGUUAUAAUCAAACAUAUGACCAUUUAUACACGAAUCAUUCAUAUAUUUCCCAAUUUUCCUCCUCCUCCUCUCCAUUCCACAUCCUUAAUGUGUAUAACACACUUAAACAACAUUAACCAUAAUUUCAAUAUUCACUAACAUGUAUAUUCAAAGCUGUUUAUCCGAGUAAGAGUCACUAAAUUAUUUUUAUCCGGAGCUACAGAGCUCCAAAUUAAGAUCCGUUAAUUUUCCCUGAAACUAGACUCACAUAUCUUCAUACCAUAAAAUUUUCAUAAUUUUUGGUUCAGCCAAAUAGUACAGUUUAUUCUUUAAAGUUUCCCCUGUUUCGCUGUCUGACAGUUCCGACCACUCUUCACUAAAAAUUAAUUAUCUCAUUGUACAGAAUUCGGAUGAUGUUUUAGCUUGUUUCUUCUAAAAAUAGACUCAUUAAGGAUUCUAACCAUAUAAACUAUAACUCAUAAUAAUUUCUGUACAAUUUUUAAUGAUUUUCCAAAGUCAGAACAGGGGAACCCGAAUUUAUUCUGACCUUGUCUCACAAAAUCUAUUAUAUCUCAUGAUUUACAAUUCCAUUGCUCACAUCAUUUCUUUUAUAAGAAACUAGACUCAAUAAGCUUUAAUUUCAUAUUUUAUUCAUCCUCUAAUUAAAUCUCUACAAUUUUUGGUGAUUUUUCAAAGUUACACUACUGCUGCUGUCCAAAACUGCUUUAGUGCAAAAUGUUGAUUUCCAUUUUGCCCCAAAUUUCACAGUUUAUACAAUUCGGUCCUUUCUCAAUUAACCCCUAAAUUAAUCUAAUUUUCUCAAUUAGUACUUUACUAGACAUUAUAAGUUGUUACACAACUAUUGAAAUUCAGAAUUUCCACAUAUAACUCUAUCUUCAAACUCUUUUACUAUUAGGUCCCAAACAUUCACUUUCUAUUCAAUUCUUUCAAUAAAAUCAGCAUAUGAACAAUUUAAAGCUCUAAUUUCAUGCAAAAUCAUCAUAUACUUCCAGCACAUAUUCAUAUCAACUUUCAACUUCUUUCAUAAAAUCAAAAACUAAUGAAUUUAACAAGUGGGCCUAGUUGUAAAAGUCAUAAAAAUACAAAAAUUUCAAGAAAUAGUCAAGAAUUGAACUUACUUGUAAUAAAAAUAUGAAGAACCAGCUUGAAGAAGCCCUUCCAU
rnacentral:lncRNA from 1 species